rnacentral:hammerhead_ribozyme from 1 species
AUCCAGCCGACGAGUUCCAAAUAGGACGAAACGCACGUCAUGGAU